rnacentral:rRNA from 1 species
AUUGAACGCUGGCGGCAGGCCUAACACAUGCAAGUCGAGCGGAUGAAGGGAGCUUGCUCCUGGAUUCAGCGGCGGACGGGUGAGUAAUGCCUAGGAAUCUGCCUGGUAGUGGGGGAUAACGUCCGGAAACGGGCGCUAAUACCGCAUACGUCCUGCGGGAGAAAGUGGGGGAUCUUCGGACCUCACGCUAUCAGAUGAGCCUAGGUCGGAUUAGCUAGUUGGUGGGGUAAAGGCCGACCAAGGCGACGAUCCGUAACUGGUCUGAGAGGAGGAUCAGUCACACUGGAACUGAGAAACGGUCCAGACUCCUACGGGAGGCAGCAGUGGGGAAUAUUGGACAAUGGGCGAAAGCCUGAUCCAGCCAUGCCGCGUGUGUGAAGAAGGUCUUCGGAUUGUAAAGCACUUUAAGUUGGGAGGAAGGACAGUAAGUUAAUACCUUGCUGUUUUGACGUUACCAACAGAAUAAGCACCGGCUAACUUCGUG